rnacentral:rRNA from 1 species
UCGAGAAUCAUUCACAAUGGGGGAAACCCUGAUGCAGCGACGCCGCGUGAAGGAAGAAGUAUCUCGGUAUGUAAACUUCUAUCAGCAGGGAAGAUAAUGACGGUACCUGACUAAGAAGCUCCGGCUAACUACGUGCCAGCCGCCGCGGUAAUACGUAGGGGGCAAGCGUUAUCCGGAUUUACUGGGUGUAAAGGGAGCGUAGACGGAACAGCAAGUCUGAUGUGAAAGGCAUGGGCUCAACCUGUGGACUGCAUUGGAAACUGUUGGUCUUGAGUACCGGAGGGGUAAGCGGAAUUCCUAGUGUAGCGGUGAAAUGCGUAGAUAUUAGGAGGAACACCAGUGGCGAAGGCGGCUUACUGGACGGUAACUGACGUUGAGGCUCGAAAGCGUGGGGAGCAAACAGG